UACGUNCCAGCAGCCGCGGUAAUACGUAGNUCCCGAGCGUUGUCCGGAUUUAUUGGGNGUAAAGGGAGCGCAGGCGGUUUAGUAAGUNUGAAGUUAAAGGCAUUGGCUCAACCAAUGUAUGCUUUGGAAACUGUUAGACUUGAGUGCAGAAGGGGAGAGUGGAAUUCCAUGUGUAGCGGUGAAAUGCGUAGAUAUAUGGAGGAACACCGGUGGCGAAAGCGGCUCUCUGGUCUGUCACUGACGCUGAGGCUNGAAAGCGUGGGUAGCGAACAGGAUUAGAUACCCUGGUAGUCCACGCCGUAAACGCUGAGUGCUAGGUGUUAGGUCCUUUCCGGGACUUAGUGCCGACGCUAACGCAUUAAGCACUCCGCCUGGGGAGUACGACCGCAAGGUUGAAACUCAAAGGAAUUGACGGGGGCCCGCACAAGCGGUGGAGCAUGUGGUUUAAUUCGAAGCAACGCGAAGAACCUUACCAGGUCUUGACAUCCCGAUGCCCGCUCUAGAGAUAGAGUUUUUCUUCGGAACAUCGGAGACAGGUGGUGCAUGGUUGUCGUCAGCUCGUGUCGUGAGAUGUUGGGUUAAGUCCCGCAACGAGCGCAACCCUUAUUGUUAGUUGCCAUCAUUAAGUUGGGCACUCUAGCGAGACUGCCGGUAAUAAACCGGAGGAAGGUGGGGAUGACGUCAAAUCAUCAUGCCCCUUAUGACCUGGGCUACACACGUGCUACAAUGGUUGGUACAACGAGUCGCAAGCCGGUGACGGCAAGCUAAUCUCUGAAAGCCAAUCUCAGUUCGGAUUGUAGGCUGCAACUCGCCUACAUGAAGUCGGAAUCGCUAGUAAUCGCGGAUCAGCACGCCGCGGUGAAUACGUUCCCGGGCCUUGUACACACCGCCCGUCACACCACGAGAGUUUGUAACACCCAAAGUCGGUGAGGUAACCAUUUAUGGGG
rnacentral:rRNA from 1 species